UGGUUCUUUGGCUCAGAUGGCUUCUUGGCUUCAGACCAUGGAGGGUGUCGCGUCGAGAUGGAGAGCUGCAACAGUUGUGCUGCAAGGACUGCUGGCGAUGACCUUUCUUAUUUCAGGAAUUUCUGCCUUGAAGUGUCAUAGUUCCAACACCGUCAAUCUUACCACUCCACACAAGGGCAACUCCUCAUCUCAUAACUCCCAGAAAGCGGUAUUAUCAACUGCUCCAGUGCUGAGAACGUUUGCACAGAUGCACAACUUAUAUUAACUAUAGAUAAAGAUGUUUUGAUAAUGAGCUACAAAGGCUGCGCCAGCAAGGACCUUGUGGAUGGAACAAAACCAAUCAACUCUGGUGACCGACACUUUGCCAUCCAAUUUGACCAGAGCUACUGUUUUGGUGACCUUUGCAAUGCGAAAACGAGAGAAGUUCCCAAGACCCCUAUUAAGG